rnacentral:rRNA from 1 species
GCGACCUUAGGUCAGGCAGGGCCACCCGCUGAANUUAAGCAUAAAGGGCGAAUUCG